rnacentral:rRNA from 1 species
GACGCACCGUGCGAACGUUGUUCGGAAUCACUGGGCUUAAAGGGCGCGUAGGCGGGCCGGACGGUCCGGGGUGAAAUCCCCCCGCUCAACGGGGGAACGGCCCCGGACACCGCCGGGCUCGAGGGGGGUAGGGGCGAGCGGAACGCUGGGUGGAGCGGUGAAAUGCGUUGAUAUCCAGCGGAACUCCGGUGGCGAAGGCGGCUCGCUGGGCCCUCUCUGACGCUGAGGAGCGAAAGCAUGGGGAGCGAACAGG